rnacentral:misc_RNA from 1 species
GCAAUAUCGUAAAUAUUAAAGUCCAAGGCAAUACCAAAAAACAAUGAAUUUCAUAGCCAUUAAAACAAAAUAUAUAACCAAUAACAAAUAUACUAAGGAGAUUAAUGAAAACCAAAUGCCAAAAAAUCAAAUCUCAAUGAAUCAACAUGAAGGUCGCUCUGAUACCAAUUGUUGUAAAAACUUCAGAUUCCAUCUAACCAUAAUCCAUCAUACCAAAUCAUCAAGAAAUUAAACUGGAUGCGGAAGCGUAUCUGAAUCCAUGAUACUGAUAAAAUUUUGCGAUCUUGCGCUUCUAGGUCUUCCAAAUUGAUAUGCACGAUCAAGAGAAAAAAUUCUAUCUUUUCUAAUGAUGGUAUAUUAGAAAAGAAUCAUGCAUACAAUUUGGGGACCAUAACCCUUUUA